rnacentral:rRNA from 1 species
AUUGAACGCUGGCGGCAGGCCUAACACAUGCAAGUCGAACGAGUGGCGGACGGGUGAGUAAUGUCUGGGAAACUGCCUGAUGGAGGGGGAUAACUACUGGAAACGGUAGCUAAUACCGCAUACCAUCAGAUGUGCCCAGAUGGGAUGAGCUUGUUGGUGGGGUAACGGCUCACCAAGGCGACGAUCCCUAGCUGGUCUGAGAGGAUGACCAGCCACACUGUGACUGUGACACGGUCCAGACGCCUACGGGAGGCAGCAGUGGUGAAUAUUGCACAAGUGGCGCAAGCCUGUUGCAGCCAUGCCGCGUGUAUGAAGAAGGCCUUCGGGUUGUAAAGUACUUUCAGCGGUGAGGCGUUACCCGCAGAAGAAGCACCGACUAACUCCGUGCCAGCAGCCGCGGUAAUUC